UUGCUCCCGUUGGCAGCGCAUAUUCUAAAAUUGGAAUAAGACAGAGAUUAGCAUGACCCCCGCACAAGGAUGACGGUAAAUGCAAUAGUCUGGCUGUCUGUAC
ensembl:snRNA U6 U6 spliceosomal RNA